rnacentral:rRNA from 1 species
CGAAAUGCGAUACUUGGUGUGAAUUGCAGGAUCCCGCGAACCACCGAGUCUUUGAACGCAAGUUGCGCCCGGAGCCUUCUGGCCGAGGGCACGUCUGCCUGGGCGUC